CACAACAAUAGACCCUCUCCCAAUAGCUCUUUUGUAAUGUGAUCUUGCCACUCCUCCAUCAAGAGGUGGAGUUUAUGAUCCCUUCCCCUGAUUCUGAGCUGCCUGUGACUGACUUUGAUUGACAGAAUGUGGCAGAAAUGACACUGCAUCACUUCCAAGACUGGCCUUAUGAGACUCCCAACUUUUGCUUUCACUACUUGGAGAGCUCCCUUUUGGAGGCCAGUCAUCGUGUUAGAAGCAUAACUAACUGGAGACCACUAUGUGGUGGAGAAGCUCAUGCUGUCUACAUAUAGAGGGAAAUGGCAUAUCAAUGAAUUAAACAUGAAAGUGAAGAUUUCUUGGCCCUCUCCAUCUUACUCAGCUCAUUGGAGCCACCAGCUGAAAGCAAGGGAGUGAAUGAGCCCAGCCCCGAGUGGAGCAGAAGGAGCCCAACCAGCGAAGCCCAGCCUGAAUUCCUGACUAACAGACUUAACAGGUGGAUUUUUGGGUUUGCUGAAGAAGAAAAAGAAGGAGAAGGAGAAGGAGAAGAAGAAGAGAAGUGUGAUUAACAAGAAAAAAACUUAUUUGGGGGCUAUGAACACCUUGAAUAUUUAACAGAAUAUCAGCUACUCAUCUGUAACCAUUCACUACAUAGCUAAACUUUUAGUAAUAAUGUAGGUAUUCUCUGGCCAAGAGAAAGAUAGGAUGUGUGUGUGUGUGUGUGUGUGUGUGUGUGUGUGUGUG
rnacentral:lncRNA from 10 species